ACGAACGCUGGCGGCGUGCUUAACCCCUGCAAGUCGAACGGAAAGGCCCUGCUUUUGUGGGGUGCUCGAGUGGCGAACGGGUGAGUAACACGUGAGUAACCUGCCCUUGACUUUGGGAUAACUUCAGGAAACUGGGGCUAAUACCGGAUAGGAGCUCCUGCUGCAUGGUGGGGGUUGGAAAGUUUCGGCGGUUGGGGAUGGACUCGCGGCUUAUCCGCUUGUUGGUGGGGUAGUGGCUUACCAAGGCUUUGACGGGUAGCCGGCCUGAGAGGGUGACCGGCCACAUUGGGACUGAGAUACGGCCCAGACUCCUACGGGAGGCAGCAGUGGGGAAUAUUGCACAAUGGGCGGAAGCCUGAUGCAGCAACGCCGCGUGCGGGAUGACGGCCUUCGGGUUGUAAACCGCUUUCGCCUGUGACGAAGCGUGAGCGACGGUAAUGGGUAAAGAAGCACCGGCUAACUACGUG
rnacentral:rRNA from 1 species